AUGGUCUGGGCUCUGCUCCUCCUCCCCCUCUUCACUCAGGACACAGGGUCCUGGGCUCAGUCUGCCCUGACUCAGCCUCGCUCAGUAUCUAGCUCCUCUGGACAGUCGGUCACCAUCUCCUGCACUGGAACCAGUGGUGAUGUUGGGAGUUAUAACAUUGUCUCCUGGUAUCAACAGCACCCAGGCACAGCCCCCCAACUCAUGAUUUAUCGCAUCAGUUAUCAGCCCUCAGGGGUCCCCGAUCGUUUCUCUGGCUCCAAGUCUGGCAACACGGCCUCCAUGACCAUCUCUGGGUUCUAG